rnacentral:lncRNA from 1 species
AAGUUGUGAUAUUAUUUCAGUGCUGUUUCUAUAAAGGCCCAGCUCGCUAUGGCUAUAUGCCUUAGCCUAAAUAAUUUCAGUUAUAUUUCAAUUAAAACAUUUUAAGUACUGUUUCCAUAAAGGACAGCUUACUAUUGGCUAUAUGCCUUAGCCUAAAUAAUUUCAGUUAUAUUUCAAUUAAAACAUUUUAAGUACUGUUUCCAUAAAGGACAGCUUGCUAUUGGCUAUAUGCCUUAGCCUAAAUAAUUUCAACAUUAAAUUUAGCAUUUAACUAUAUUGCUUAAGCUUUUGAAAUAGACAUCGCAGUUUAUUGAUAUUUCAAAUUUAUUAAGAUUCACUGAUGUACUAUGAUGAAAGGCUUGAUAAGAUAAAACUGUGCAGUAGUUUUACACUUGUAACUAUAUAUAGUGUUACUAAACUGCAUGCUAAAAGUUUCUGUUGACUGUUAGAAUGGUGGCUUGUAAGUGGGGGUAUCUUGCUAGGGUUUGCACAUUUAAAUAUUUACAAGUGCAUUAGGUCUCUUAGGUUUUAAGACCAACAUGAGCGAGUGAGAUAAACUCGACUAGCUUAGGAUAAGGCAUCAAGCGUGAAAUCCACGCACUAGACCCCUCAGGAUCGGAUCCCAAACCUUUUUUCAAUGCCAAAUGUGAAAUUACCCCCACCUUACCACAUCGUUGAAGAAUUAUGGUGGAUAUCUUGGGCAAAUGUGCAAUACUAUGAGGGAUAUCUUGGGCAAAUGUGCCAUACUAUGAGGGAUAUCUUGGGCAAAUGUGCAAUACUAUGAGGGAUAUCUUGGGCAAAUGUGCAAUAUGAUGAGGGAUAUCUUGGCAAAUAUCUUGGAUAAAUUUAUCUUAAAUUGCUAAAGAACAAUGUUGUAA